GCAGGCUGCAACCCGCCUGCAUGAAGCCGGAAUCGCUAGUAAUCGCGAAUCAGAAUGUCGCGGUGAAUACGUUCCCGGGUCUUGUACACACCGCCCGUCACACCAUGGGAGUCGGAAAUGCCCGAAGUCAGUGACCCAACCGUAAGGAGGGAGCUGCCGAAGGUGGAGCCGGUAACUGGGUGAAGUCGUAACAAGGUAUC
rnacentral:rRNA from 1 species